rnacentral:rRNA from 1 species
GAUGAACGCUAGCGGGAGGCUUAAUACAUGCAAGUCGCGGGGUAACGAUGGACUUCGGUUCAGGCGACGACCGGCGCACGGGUGAGUAACGCGUACACGACCUACCUUAUACUGAGGGAUAGCCCUGGGAAACUGGGAGUAAUACCUCAUGGUAUUGAUUAAUUACGAUUUUUCAAUUAAAGCUCCGGCGGUAUAAGAUGGGUGUGCGUUAGAUUAGCUAGUUGGUGAGGUAACGGCUCACCAAGGCGACGAUCUAUAGGGGGCGUGAGAGCGUGGACCCCCACACGGGUACUGAGACACGGACCCGACUCCUACGGGAGGCAGCAGUAAGGAAUAUUGGACAAUGGGGGCAACCCUGAUCCAGCCAUCCCGCGUGCAGGAAGACGGCCCUAUGGGUUGUAAACUGCUUUUACCAGGGAAGAAAAUUAGUCAUUUAUGAUUAACUGACGGUACCUGAGGAAUAAGCACCGGCUAACUCCG